AGAGCCCAGUCACCCAGCCCACUCUGCGGAGACGCCUCGGCCCCCGGAGCAGCUCGGCUGGUUUAGAGCCACAUCCCUGCUGUAAAUACUCCAUACGGAAUUCGAGGGAUUUAGGUCCCGGUUCAACGACAGCGAUGUCGCUGCUGAGCCGGGAACACAGCACGGGCAAUGCAGCCGCGGAAACCACCGAACGCGAUCGGCGGGGAGAGGCGGCGGAGCUGAGCGGGGCAGGACGGCAGAGGCGGGCAGGACGGCAGCGCGAGGCCGGCUCCACGCACGCUCCGCGCCGGCUUUGCGGGGCUACUCGGGACUGGGGUGGCUGGUCGUGUGGAGGAUCCAUUUCCAGCUUUCCGAGGCGUCUCCGCACUGCCUUCCACAGCGGCUGCAUCAGUUUACGCUCCCACCAGCGGUGGGGGAGGGUACCUUUUCCCCCACUCCCUCGCCAGCCCGCGUUUAUUGUUUUUUGGUCCAAAUGUGGAGCUGGAGGAACACGAGUGACGACAGAUCUCCGGAAGCUGACCGGGAGGACACAGGAACUGGUGCCAAAGCAAAGCUCCAGAAUACAGAACUAAAGUGAGCUGAGCCUGAGGGGUGCUGCUGUGUGACUCGCUUCCUUUCCUGACCACGGCCAGCAGCAGCGAUAAUAAAGGCCUUCAGUUCAGGGGAAAAGAACACCUCUGUUUCUCCCCAGGCCCUCCCAGAGCGCCCUCUCGCACCCAAGUGAAAAAACCCAUUUUAAUAAAUGUCGGGUAUUUACUUCUUGCUAAGUGCUCUGCACAAAUACAUGUGAGGAACGGCCUAAAGGGUGAAAAGAUGGCGUGCCGGAGAGUGCUGUGGGUUUGAGAGCAGAGAUGUUGAGGUAGGGCUGCAAGGUAUUUUGCAAGUCAAGCCUACUUUACGAAGCCAUGUGACUGAUAGGAAUUCCGCCACAGGCUUCAUCGCAACUGGACCGUUCACCUCUGUGGGAGCAUAAACAUUCUAAUGAAAUUCUAACAAAAGUUCGAACUCAUUUUUAGCAGGAGGCGUCAGUAGGUUGAAGGUCAGUAGGUUGAAGGUCCGUGAGACCUAACCGGCACCACCCGGCAGCGGGUAGGAACCGCCUCUCACUGGGCGGCUUGUGGCCUCCAGACAGAGCAGUGGUCGCAAGGGACCCCACGAGCGGCUCGGGGUCAUGUCAGCCCGACCUCCCCUGAGCUGGUGGCGUCUACGGUAAGGUCCUCCCCGUGGGAUUCCAGGCAUAAACCUCUACUGCGUGUUCUGCCUGGGCCGAGCCCAGAGCCGGGCUGUGUCGGCACAAAGACCCACGUGACCGGCCGGUUUCACACUCCUUCCCCUGGAGAGAGUGUGGCGUCCAGGGGCUUCCAGCUGAGCCUGGUCUUUCCUCAGUUGGGUGUUUGCACUACCACCCUGAACGGACACUUGAGGCCCACUUCUCUGAGAGGCGCUGGCCUUGUCUGAGAUCCGGGUUCUACAGGCGACGUUCUCUCGCGCCGACUCCAUUGUUGCUAACAGAAGUGCCCACGACACGCUGUCCAAGCCUGCAGAUUUCUUCAGGAGCUUGGGAUGCGGCUUCCACUGGAGGCUUCACUCCGUCAGUGGAGUGACUUCUCUCCCCCCUCUUCCCCUCCUCCCCUCCCAGCCUCUGUCCUCCCUUCUCCUCUCCCCUCCUCCCCUCCCAUCUCCCCU